GACAGAGGUGCCAAGCGUUAGGCGGAAUCACUGGGCUUAAAGCGCGUGUAGGUGGCGGCCUAAGUACCUUGUGAAAUCCUGCGGCUCAACCGCAGAACUGCUUGGUAUACUGGGUCGCUUGAGACAUUCAGGGGCAACUGGAACAAGCGGUGGAGCGGUGAAAUGCGUAGAUAUCGCUUGGAACGCCAAAGGUGAAAACAGGUUGCUGGGGAUGUUCUGACACUGAGACGCGAAAGCGUGGGGAGCAAACAGG
rnacentral:rRNA from 1 species